UUUUCCAGCGGCCUGUGGUGUGAGUGAGUGUGCGCGCGCUAAGUGAUUACGUCAGUGUUAUAGUGUCGAUAGAGUGUUAUCCCUUUGAGUAGGGUUUUCUAGUGAGGGCAUUCGAGAUACAAAGUCUUCGACUAGAGGAAUAAAAGAGAAGAGAGAGAAAGUAGAAAUAUAGAUAGAAAUCAGACAGGAAGCACGAAGCAUCAUCGAUAACAUCUCGCAUAUCCGUAGAGACAUGAGUCGUGAAAUAUGAUAGAGGGAGCAGCAGGUCGAACUAUCGUAGCAAAUUUUAGGACCUCAUAAUGGGGACGCGGGGGGGCGACGUGCUGGCCCCCAGGAAGCCCUACUCGACCCAGCUCGCCCGCCACCCGACCUACCCUGACCCGCAGGUGAGUCGACCUUGGCCCGCGGGAGGA